UACGUAGGGGGCAAGCGUUGUCCGGAUUUAUUGGGCGUAAAGAGCGUGUAGGCGGUCAGGUAGGUCCGUUGUGAAAACUCGAGGCUCAACCUCGAGACGCCGAUGGAAACCCUCCAGCUAGAGUCCGGAAGAGGAGAGUGGAAUUCCUGGUGUAGCGGUGAAAUGCGCAGAUAUCAGGAAGAACACCCGUGGCUAAGGCGGCUCUCUAGUACGGUACUGACGCUGAGACGCGAAAGCGUGGGGAGCGAACAGG
rnacentral:rRNA from 1 species